AUCAAAUAUCUGUUCCCUUUUCCCCGCAUCGGUUGCCCACGGUCAGUUAGAAAGCGGGUGGGUGCGAACGGUGAGCAGCGUAACGAAUGCACGGGUGCUGAGAGAAUGGAUUUCAUGGCGUGUGCAAAGUGAUGAUCGGUCAGUGCGGGAUUUUCACCAUUCCACAUCGCGCACUGCGUGUAUGGAUUGUGCUGGUGUUGGUGGCACGCUGGAAGAUCGUCCGAUCGGCGCCGGUAGGUCGGCCUCGGUCCAGUUUGUUUGGUACGUUCUGGUGGGUCGGUUUAUUGUUUCUUCACUCGGGCGAGUAAACAAACCCGCCGCGUGUGUUCAUUUCGGAAAAGAUCAGAAAGUCCCAACAUUCCUCGCUCACCAUUCAAGCGAACGCAGCAGAAUGCGUGCGAAUACUGGCGCGAAUUUGUUACAUUCCGGAAAGUGCCGCACUCGCACCCGACACUCGAUCCAAGAAACCGUACCGACGCCUUCCUUCGCCAAGUCUUUCCCGCUCGGAUGCACACGGUGGGAAACUCACUUCACCCAUAAUUAACCCGGCUCAAGAACGCAUCGCCCCACAGUUGUCAAACGCAGUAGAGGAGGCCGAUCUUCUUGGGCGAUCGCUACGUUGUGUGCGAUCAUUCUGCAUUGCGGUUUGGCAACUUCUUCGCUCGCUGCAUGCUGGGCACGUGACGAAAUGGCUUUUGUAGGUGUGACCGCCGAUGCUAGCGCCGAGGAAGGAUGAGAAAGCAAAUAGGAACGAAAACGGUUUGCACUACGGUGCAGUCACUUGCCAGGAAGUGGAAUCAGUUCAUCAGCGCGCUAAAUAGACCUAUUUUUAGUGUGAUCCUGCACCGCAGACUGCGCCACAAUGCACGUUGGUGGUGCAUUUUUUUUUGCUUGCAAAAAAUGUUUGAGAACGGGAAUGUAAGACGGCUGUGGUGCACGAUCGGUGUUGGUCAAGCACGUCCGGCAAGGUGGCAGAUUGUCAUCUUAAUAAAGUGGAACGGCUCUUGGGACGAAAUUUUAGUCAUGGAUCGGUAGCUUGAUAGUUGGGCAAGAGGAUUACAUCGCACCGAAGCAGUUGAUUGUAGCGCAAGCAUUUGAGUUUGAGGUUACAGCUAAUGUUGUGAUAUUGAAAUGAAACAGUCAUGAAAUCAA